AUUGAACGCUGGCGGCGUGCUUAACACAUGCAAGUCGAUCGGUAACGCGGGGGCAACCCUGGCGACGAGAGGCGGACGGGUGAGGAACGCUUGGGAAUCUGCCCUUCAGCGGGGGACAACCCGGGGAAACCCGGGCUAAUACCGCAUACGCUCCACGGAGGAAAGCCGGGGACCGCAAGGCCUGGCACUGAAGGAUGAGCCCAAGUCGGAUUAGCUAGUUGGCGGGGUAACGGCCCACCAAGGCGACGAUCCGUAGCUGGUCUGAGAGGACGAUCAGCCACACUGGGACUGAGACACGGCCCAGACUCCUACGGGAGGCAGCAGUGGGGAAUAUUGGACAAUGGGCGAAAGCCUGAUCCAGCGACGCCGCGUGGGUGAAGAAGGCCUGCGGGUUGUAAAGCCCUUUCGGUAGGGACGAAAGCCUCCGACCUAACACGUCGGGGGGUUGACUUAACCUACAAAAGAAGCACCGGCUAACUCUGUGCCAGCAGCCGCGGUAACAC
rnacentral:rRNA from 1 species